ACAGCUUUGGACAAAAGUCUAUAGCCAGUGCAUUUGAAACUCCCCCUGCACAGGAGCUGACUGUAGCUGGGGAAGACAGUUUACUCAUUUGCUCUCUCUUUUCAUAGUCAGCUGGUCCCUCUCCUCAGGUGUACAUCACCUAUUAUCAUUUCACCUGUUUUGGUUCUCUGAUGAGGAAAGUCCUAGGACUUGUCGGCUGGGAUAGGCCUCAUUUACAAGACAGCUCU
rfam:Sorex araneus cont1.445770, whole genome shotgun sequence.